AUGGACAGAUCAGGGAAACAGAAAUUAAACAAAGACACAGAAAGACUAACAGGUUAUGAAACAAAUGGAUUUAACAUAUAUUUAUAGAACACUCCACCCUAAAACCAAAGGAUAUACCUUCUUCUCAGCAUUCCAUUGUACCUUCUACAAAAUUGACCAUAUAAUCGGUCACAAAACAGGCCUCAACAGAUACAGGAAGAUAGAUAUAAUCCCAUGCAUCCUUUCAAAAAACCACGGACUAAGGCUGCUGAUCAAUAACAACAAAUAGGACAGAAAGCCCACAUAUACAUGGAAGUUGAAGUCAAUGACAACUUGGUCAUUGGAGACAUAAGAAAGAAAUUAAAGACUUCUUAGAAUUUAAUGAAAAUGAAGAUACAACAUACCCAAACUUAUGGGACACAAUAAAAGCAGCGCGAAGAGGAAAACUCAUAGCUCUGUAUGCCUGCAAAAAGAAACAAGAGAGAGCAUAUGUCAGCAGCUUGACAGCACACCUAAAAGCUCUAGAAAAAAUUAAAUAAACCCUAGAGGAGUAGAAGGCAGGAAAUAAUCAAACUCAGGGCUGAAAUCAAACAAGAAGAAACAAAACCGAGUAUCAAAAGAAUCAGCAAACCCAGGAGCUGGUUCUUUGAGAAAAUCAACAAGAUACAUAAAGGCUUAGCCAUAUUAACCAGAGGUCACAGAGAGUGUAUCCAAAUUAAUAAAAUCAAAAAUAAAAGGGAGACAUAACAACAAAAUCUGAAGAAAUUAGAAAGAUCAUCAGAUCCUACUACAAAAAAAAAUAUUCAACAAAACUGGAAAAUGUGGAGGAAAUGGACAAUUUUCUAUACAGAUACCAGGUACCACAGUUAAAUCAGGAACAAAUAAAACAUUGAAACAAACCCAUAACUCAUAAAGACAUAGAAACUGCUAUUAAACAUCUCCCAUCCAAAAAGAGCCCAGGACCAGAUGGAUUUAGUGCAGAAUUCUAUCAGACCUUCAUAGAAGUCUUCAUACCAUUACUGUCCAAACUAUUCCGCAAAAUACAAACAGACAGAGCACUACCAAAUUCCUUCUAUGAAGCCACAAUUACUCUUAUACCUAAACCACACAAAGAUACAACAAAGAUAGAGAAAUUCAGACCUAUUUGAUUUAUGAAUAUUGAUCAAAAAUGCUCAAUAAAAUUCUUGCAAACUGAAUCCAAGAACACAUCCAAACAAUCAUCCAUCAUGAUCAAGUAGGCCUCAUGGCAAGGAUGCAGGGAUGGUUUAAUAUACGGAAGUCCAUCAACGAAAUUCAUCAUAUAAACAAAGUCAAAACCACAUGAUCAUUUCAUUAGAUGCUGAGAAAUCAUUUGACAAAAUUCAUUACCCUUUCAUUAAUAAAGUCCUGGAAAGAUCAGGAAUUGAAGGCCUGAAUCUAAAUAUAGGAAAAUGCAAAAUACAUCAAACCUGUACCUAACAUCAAACUAAACUUAGAGUAUUGAAGGAAUCCCACUAAAAUCAGGGACUAGACAAGGCUGCCCACUCUUUCCCUACUUAAGUACAAUGUGGUACUUAACGUCCUAGCCAUAGCAAUCAAAGAAUGAAAGUAGGUCAAAGGGAAAAAAUUAGAAGGGAUGAAGUCAAAACACUAAUAUUUGAAGAUGAUAUGAUAGUCUACUUAAGCAACACCAAAAUUCUACCAGAGAACUACUUAACCCGAUCAACAACUUCAGCAAACUGUCCGAGUAUAAAAUUAACCAAAACAAUUCAGUAGUCUUUCUCUACUGAAAGGGUACACAGGCUGAGAAAGAAAUUAGGAAAAUGACACCCUACACAAUAGUCCCAAAUAAUAUAAAAUAACUUGCUGUUACUUGAACCAAGCGAGUAAAAAAUCUGUAUGACAAGAACUUCAAAUCUCUGAAGAAAUUGAAGAAGGUCUCAGAAGAUUGAAAGAUCUCCCAUGCUCAUAGAUUGGCAGGAUGAAUAUGGUAAAAAAUGACCAUUUUGCCAAAGGCAAUCUACAGAUUCAAUGCCAUCACUAACAAUAUUCCUACUCAAUUCUUUAUAAAGGUAGAAAGUGCAAUUUGCCAUCAUUUGGUAUACCAUAAAACCCAGGAUAGCAAAACUCUACUCAACAAUAAAAGACCUUCUGGGGAAAUCACCAUCUCUGACCUCAAGCAGUAUUACAGAGCAAUAGUUUGUAUGGUAUUGGCAUACAGACAGGCAGCUCAGGGGAACAUAAUUGAAGACACAGAAAUGAACCCACACACCUAUGGUCAUUUGAUCUUUGACAAAGGAGGUAAAACAUCCAAUGGAAGAAAGAUAGUAUUUUUAACAAAUGGUGCUGGUUCAACUGGAGGUCAACAUGUAGAAGAAUGCAAGUUGACCCAUCCUUAUUACCCUGUACAAAGCUUAAGUCCAAGUGGAUCAAGGACCUCCACAUCAAACCAGAUACACUAAAAGUAAUGCAUAAAAAGUAGGGAAGAGUCUCGAAGACAUGAGCACUAAGGAAAAUUUCCUGAACAAAAUACCAAUGGCUUAUGCUUUAAGAUCAAGAAUCGACAAUUGGGACCUCAUAAAACUGAAAAGCUUCUGUAAGGCAAAGGACAGUGUCAUUAGGACAAAAAGGCAACCCACAGAUUGGGAAAAAAUCUUUACCAAUCCUGCAUCUGAUGGAGGGCUUAUAUCCAAAGUAUACACAAAACAGAAGAAGUUAGAGUACAGAGAGCCAAACACCCCUCUUAAUAAAUGGGGUUCAGAGCUGAAGAAAACAUUCUCAGCUGAGGAAUAUAGAAUAGCGAAAAGCCCCUAAAGAAAUGCUCAAUAUCCUUAGUCAUCAGAGAAAUGCAAAUCAAAACAACCCUAAGAAUCCACCUCACACCAGUCAGGAUGGCUAAGAUCAAAAAAUCAGGUAAGAACAGAUGCUGGCAAGGAUGUGGAGAAAGAGGAACACUUGUCGAUUGUAGCUGGGAUUGCAAACUGGUACAAGCACUCUGGAAAUCAGUCUGAAGGUUCCUCAGAAUUUGGACAUUGCACUACCUGAGCACACAGCUAUACCUGUCCUGGGCAUAUACCCAAAAGAUUCUCCAACAUACAACAACACAUAUGAUCCACUAUGUUCAUAGCAGCCUUAUUCAUAAUAGCCAGAAGCUGGAAUGAACCCAGAUGCCCUUCAACAGAGGAAUGGAUUCGAAAAAUGUGGUACAUCUACACAAUGGAGUACCACUCAGCUAUCAAAAACAAUGACUAUGUUCAAUUCAUAGGCAAAUGGAAAGAACUAGAAAAUAUCAUCCACAGUGAGGUAAUCCAAUCACAGAAAAGCACACUUGGUAUGCUCUUGGGAGCGAUGGCCUUGAAGCCCUCCAUUAUUGAUGUUAUUAUUAUGGUUAGCUUUAAGUAUGACUGGGUUCAUGGAAAAUCCCCAGCCAGCUGCAGAAGACUAAUACAAAUGUGGUGGUCACGAUGAAUAAUCAUAUGAUAAUGUCUGACAUUAAGAUACCCAAAGUCAUGACCUGUAACCUUUCUGGAAAACCAACAUCCUACUGACAAAUAGAUAUGACAAACCUGUGACCUUUCUGACAACCUGUCAACAUCAGCUGAUUCCCUGACCACAGGACUAUUGUGUCCUUGGCGUGGGUAAAUGUUUCUUAAUUCCCCCCUCUCUCUGUUACCCAUUUUAUGGUACAAAUUCAGCGUUGGGGAAAAAUAAAAUUGUCGCCUUGAUCAGACUCUUGUCUUGGAGUCCUUCUUCACCUCUCUUGUCCCUCAUUCUCUUCCAGGUACUCAGCACCCCUCGUUGACAGUAUGUACUCAUUGAUAAGUGGAUAUUGACCAAAACCUCAAAUUACCCAAGAUGCAAUCUACAGAUCUCAGGAAACUCAAGAAGAAGGAUGACCAAAGUGCAGAUGUUCCCACUCCUUCUUAAAAUGGGGAACGAAAAUAUCCAUAGGAGGGGAUAUGGAGGCCAAAUCUAAAGCAGAGACCGAAGGAACAGCCAUUAAGAGUCUGCCCCACAUGUGGCCAUAUAUAUACAGCCACCAAAACUAGAUUUUGGUAGGAAGGCAUCAUCCCAAAAUGUCAUCAGUAAGCAAGAGGAGUGUCUAAAGGAACUGGAGGAACUCAAAUUUGAAAUCCAGAAGUGUCAAUUCGAGAGGGAUGAACUUUAUCAAAUCCUGGAUCUUUAUAUCUAUGAUGAGUGGGACCACAGGUAGUCAUUAUGCCCAGUAACCUGUUCACUGUCUUGCGCUCUCUCUCUGCUACCUCAAGAUUUACUCAUAGCACGAGAAAGUUUCACAUCUCAUCCUGGAUUUUAAGGAGAUUUGGCAGGCAUUUGCUUGUGAGAUGAGCUAGGUGCUGUGUGUUUAGUGUCAACCUCUUUUGUACUUGACCCUGAGCCUCUUGGAUUAGCAUUGGUUCUGUCAACAGCUAGAAUGACCUUGUCACACUUGCUGCAACUGUGUGUGUGAAUGAAAUGCCUGCAUGUCAUCACUCUUUCCUCUGAAUUUGUUCAUUAUACACUGAUUCUAUGGCACCUCCAUGGAUGUAGUUGGCAUUCUAAAUGUGUUUGGAUAUGGGUUGGUGUGUAUAUAUGUGGCAGUAUUUGUUGGUGGUUUACUCUGGAUCAGGACGUCUGGGACCUUUCAAUGGGUCUGAGGAUUUGUUUGAUCAACAGUUUGCAGGUCAUGAGAGUGAUGAGUACAUGGAGGCCCACACUGAUCAACACAGCACUUUGCUCCUUCUGUAUACCUUGGUGGCACACAGGACUCUCCUGAGGGGAGGAGGUGCUAUAAAUCCUCUUCUCUGUCAAACAUACUUAUGCCCUCUGGGAAUUCAUGUAACGAUAGAAACCAAGGAUUGAGUAUACCUGCUUUCAAAACAAGAGAAAUGUCAUCACAGCUUUCUCUUGGGCCCAAAGCUGUGGCACAGACUGGAGGAAUCUUCUUCCUGAACUAGUGAAUUCCAUCAUGCUUACCUGGCCAGCUCUUGAAGGUCAGGUCCCUCCAACUGGUACCGUGACUCUGUUGUCCUGUGCCCGGGAUAAUAAACUUAACCAGUACAAAUACUUUGAAGGAGCAAGUAUGUGGAACAUACUGAGUUUAAGUAAUAGAGAGAACAGUCUGAUUUUACCUAAUUUGUUUCACCUGCUUUGAUCUUUAGUUUUUUUAUUUUUUUAACUAUCCAGGGAUUGUUUAUUGUGACCUAGAAAUGGUCACUGUGUUCUUGACAGUUGUUAUUCCCAAACAGGCAGCUCUCAGGCUCUGCCCCUCCUAUAUAGUGAGUCUUUGCAGAACCAUAUCUCUCAGGAUUCCAAGGAAUCCUUAUUUCAAAACAAAUGUUUGCUUAUUUACAUAGAAAUAUUUUCUGUGGAUUGAGUCUCACUGUUGGGUUUUGGUCUGGUUUUUGAGUUUGCCAUUUUCUUCCCUUCCACCAUUCCUUGAAUUUGAAAUUUUUUAUUAUAUAUUUUUAUUUACAUUUCACCUAAUUCUGAAAUCCUGAGUUCAAAACAUUAUUUGUUCCUUUGGCCAUGACCUAACCCAGGCUGCAUGUCGAAUUGCCAGUCCUUCAAUCUGAACAUGAGAUGAGAAUGAUGGCUAUGCAAAUGAUGACCAACUCAAUAAGUGAUGCCAUGGAGAGGUACAAGGAGCUCAUACAAGUGAACAGUUCCUACCGGUGAGUCGCUGACAGAGAUGAGAACCCAGCACUAGGCAGGGAAUGCUUCUGUCCUGCAUGACUUUAACAAAAGUCAGGGCUCUGGUUCCAUGGUGUUUGACUCUUAACAAACAGCCUGCCUCCUGGCAAGGGUCUUAGAUUUGUAGCUCUUGGACUCAGUUGUCCUACAUGUGAAGGGUGUAGAAGACCCUCCAAUUGUUAUUUUCCCCGUUAAAGUUCCUCUAUAUAGAAAAGGUUUGCACCAUGAUGGCAAUAGCAAUCAACUCUGAAUCUCUAGGACUCUGACAGGAGAUUUAAAGAUCUGUGAUCCAUGAGAAACACAUGGAAAGAGUCUAUAUCUAUUGGGUCUUCAACUACCCCUCAGAGGGGCUUUCCCCACAACGUGAAGAUGGUUUCACCAUACCAUGGACAUACGAGCUCCCUUAUGGACCAUCUCUUCUUCCUUGAUUUAUAUAAACCGUCUUAGUGUCAGGAUUUUCAGAAGUACUUUGAUUCACAGGGAUGUGUCCUCUGGAUUUGACCUCCUCUAAUUGGUGCUAACCUGCAUAGUGUGGCUCUAUUCUGGGGAUUUCUGAGGAUGAGGACCCUGAAGGGAUGAUUGUACUUGCAGGAGUGACAGGCAAAUAGAAGCUGGCUGGGAUUUACCAUUUUUUGUUUGUGGUUCAGCAUCAGGCACUCCCAGCUCCUGCGUGAACAAGCUCAAUUGGAGAACAAUAUACAGAUUUUGCUGAAUGAGAAGAGAGAACUGCUGGUGGAGCAGACUGAACUGCCAGCAUCUUCUGUGGAGACAAAUA